UACGUAGGGGGCUAGCGUUGUCCGGAAUCAUUGGGCGUAAAGCGCGUGUAGGCGGUCCGGUAAGUCCGCUGUGAAAGUCGGGGGCUCAACCCUCGAAUGCCGGUGGAUACUGUCGAGCUAGAGUGCGGAAGAGGCGAGUGGAAUUCCUGGUGUAGCGGUGAAAUGCGCAGAUAUCAGGAGGAACACCAAUUGCGAAGGCAGCUCGCUGGGACGUAACUGACGCUGAGACGCGAAAGCGUGGGGAGCAAACAGG
rnacentral:rRNA from 1 species